rnacentral:rRNA from 1 species
AUUGAACGCUGGCGGCAUGCUUUACACAUGCAAGUCGAACGGCAGCGCGGGCUUCGGCCUGGCGGCGAGUGGCGAACGGGUGAGUAAUGCAUCGGAACGUGCCCAGUAGUGGGGGAUAGCCCGGCGAAAGCCGGAUUAAUACCGCAUACGACCUGAGGGUGAAAGCGGGGGACCGAAAGGCCUCGCGCUAUUGGAGCGGCCGAUGUCGGAUUAGCUAGUUGGUGGGGUAAAGGCUUACCAAGGCGACGAUCCGUAGCUGGUCUGAGAGGACGACCAGCCACACUGGGACUGAGACACGGCCCAGACUCCUACGGGAGGCAGCAGUGGGGAAUUUUGGACAAAGGGGGCAACCCUGAUCCAGCCAUGCCGCGUGCGGGAAGAAGGCCUUCGGGUUGUAAACCGCUUUUGUUCGGGAAGAAAUCCUCUGGGCUAAUACCCCGGGGGGAUGACGGUACCGAAAGAAUAAGCACCGGCUAACUACGUG